rnacentral:lncRNA from 1 species
AUUUUUCAAGAGAGCCAGGAGGGGGCGCACGUCCACCGAUAAACUGUGAGCAAGAGCGUCCUGUGCUGAGUCCUGACGGCCACCAGAUGGCAUGUGAACCCGCCUCUUCUGACCAUCACCCCUCAGAUGGUGGGAGCCGGGAGACAAGAACUUCAUUCUCCUCAAGGCUCCAGGAUGGAGAUCUUAACUUGAUGCUGUUCAGUGAUUCCCCAGUGGUCGCUCCAGUACCAGAUUUGCAACUUCACACAAAAUACUCUACUGUAUUUUACUCAAAGCAGGGACACUCUCCCAGGUAACCACCACAUAACCCCCAAAUCAGGAAAUCAACAUGGUUUCUACCUGACAAUCCAAUCAGCCCACCCAGUUCACUUUACUGCCUGUGCUGACUCUGAGAAAAAUGUCUCUUUCCCUUUGGAUCCAGUUUUCUUUUCCUGGAACUGUUCCUGUGACUAUCUCUCAGUUUCACAAC